UCAGACAGUUCUGGAGACUGAAGGGGAAGCAGCAAAAGCAAAGCUUGUGCAGAUACCAGUUAGUCAAGCAGUUGAUAUAAUGAGGAGAAAGAGAGCUAUACAUUACAAGUAAUAAGUUCUGUCCAGCAACGAAAAACAACUUAGAUUGCUGACAAUGAUGCCAAUACACUUGGAGCAGCAGGGGACUUCUGCGAACGAGCUAGAUAUGAAGCUACUCAACUGCGGGGGGUUCGUCAUUACGAG